rnacentral:lncRNA from 1 species
AACCAACUGCAGCCAUAAGAAGUCACGGGGAUAUCUCAGCCUGAAUAUGGUCUCUUCUUUAUGGUCUUAUCUGAAGGAUUAGCUCUACCCAGUGGACUCUAUACAGGAACCUUUUCUCUGUUGGCUGCUGAGUUGACUGUGGUCCUUGCCCUGUUCACCCAGUCUCCAUCCCUCAGAGCAGCUGGCAGGUGGGAAGGAAAGAGGCAACAAACCCAGAGGACAGCUUACGGGAGCUGGUUCUCUCCUUUCACCAGGAAAAGAAAGAACACACAUCCUCAAAGGCAAACUACAGAACCAUUUCUGUAAUCGAACAUGCUGGAACAAGACUAGAACCUUGGGCUGAUACUGUCAAGAAGAAAUGAGAGGGCUGGGGGUGUGCAGGUCCACAGGGCGGCACUUGUCUGGUAUGCACAAGGCCCUGGGGUCCACUCCUGGCUCUACCCUCCCAUAGAAAGAAGAAAAAGAGCUUUCAGGUAGAUAGAUAAACAUGUCUAUCUGCUGUUAUGGACUGUUUUAAAUAAAAUACCAAAAU